rnacentral:rRNA from 1 species
GAUGAACGCUGGCGGCGUGCCUAAUACAUGCAAGUCGAGCGAACAGACGAGGAGCUUGCUCCUCUGACGUUAGCGGCGGACGGGUGAGUAACACGUGGAUAACCUACCUAUAAGACUGGGAUAACUUCGGGAAACCGGAGCUAAUACCGGAUAAUAUAUUGAACCGCAUGGUUCAAUAGUGAAAGACGGUUUUGCUGUCACUUAUAGAUGGAUCCGCGCCGCAUUAGCUAGUUGGUAAGGUAACGGCUUACCAAGGCAACGAUGCGUAGCCGACCUGAGAGGGUGAUCGGCAACACUGGAACUGAGACACGGUCCAGACUCCUACGGGAGGCAGCAGUAGGGAAUCUUCCGCAAUGGGCGAAAGCCUGACGGAGCAACGCCGCGUGAGUGAUGAAGGUCUUCGGAUCGUAAAACUCUGUUAUUAGGGAAGAACAAAUGUGUAAGUAACUAUGCACGUCUUGACGGUACCUAAUCAGAAAGCCACGGCUAGCUACGUG